UGGAUCAAAAGAAUAUUUGGGAAAUUCAUUUGAGCAUCGACCAAUUUUAGUUAAGUAUUAUAGAAGUAGAUCUUAAAGUUUUUUAAUUUAAUAGUAGUUGAUUAGCCAUCUUGUUAUGUAUUCCAGGUGGUGACGAGGAAAUUGGAAGAGCCUAUCGACCAGCUUAGGUUCAACUUGUGUUAUAUAGUAGCUGAGUUGAGCAUUACUGGGCCAGUUGAUCUAUCAAGUUGAGCCAUAGAUUGUCAAGCAUUGUAUGAAUUAUCUUUUCAGUUUAAGAGUUCAUAUUUUGGGAUAGACGCCUCUUUUGGUCAUAAAUUAGUUCCAUGUGUUGGGCUUGCUAUGUUUUGUAUAUAUAUUAUGCAUUUUGGGUACCGUGGUUUAGAAAUUGUUGCAAAAGUCGAAUUGCCAGUGUUGUAUUUGAAUAGUUGAUAUUUUGAGGGGCUGGUGUACCCUAUUUCAAAUGAUAUGUACAUGUUUGGGAUAUUUGAUUUUA